rnacentral:lncRNA from 1 species
UCCUCUUCUUCGGACGCGCUUGAAUCAUCCCACGUUGCCUUGAGCGCCUUCUUCUUUGAUGUUCUCUUUUUGGCUUGAGGACAAUCGUUCUUGUAGUGUCCCGGUUUUUUGCACUCAUAGCAAAUCACUUGGUCCUUCUUGUGUUCAAAUUUAUUUUUUGUAUUAUUUUUAAAUUUGUUCUUUCUUAAAUAUUUUUUAAAUUUUUG